rnacentral:rRNA from 1 species
GACGAACGCUGGCGGCGUGCUUAACACAUGCAAGUCGAACGGAAAGGCCCUGCUUUUGUGGGGUUCUCGAGUGGCGAACGGGUGAGUAACACGUGAGUAACCUGCCCUUGACUUUGGGAUAACUUCAGGAAACUGGGGCUACUCCCGUAUCGGAUCUCCUGCUGCAUGGUGGGGGUUGGAAAUUUUCGGCGGUUGGGGAUGGACUCGCGGCUUAUCAGCUUGUUGGUGGGGUAGUUGCUUACCAAGGCUUUGACGGGUAGCCGGCCUGAGAGGGUGAACGGCCACAUUGGGACUGAGAUACGGCCCAGACUCGUACGGGAGGCAGCAGUGGGGAAUAUUGCACAAUGAGCGGAAGCGUGAUGCAGAAACGCCGCGUGCGGGAUGACGGCCUUCGGGUUGUAAACCGCUUUAGCCUGUGACGAAGCGGGAGUGACGGUAAUGGGUAAAGAAGCACCGGCUAACUACGUG